rnacentral:rRNA from 1 species
CCUACGGGAGGCAGCAGUAGGGAAUUUUGCACAAUGGGGGAAACCCUGAUGCAGCAACGCCGCGUGCAUGAUGAAGUCUUUCGGUUUUUAAAUUUCUUUCAUGAGGGCAGAUAAUGACGGUACCUGAAUAAGAAGCACCGGCUAACUACGUGCCAGCAGCCGCGGUAAUACGGAGGGUGCAAGCGUUAUCCGGAUUCACUGGGUGUAAAGCGUGCGUAGGCGGCAGCACAAGUCUGAUGUGAAAUGCCGGGGCUUAACCACGGAUCUGCAUUGGAAACUAUGCAGCUAGAGUGUAGGAGAGGUAAGUGGAAUUCCUGGUGUAGCGGUGAAAUGCGUAGAUAUCAGGAGGAACACCAGUGGCGAAGGCGGCUUACUGGACUAUAACUGACGUUGAGGCUCGAAAGCGAGGGGAGCAAAUAGGAUUAGAUACCCUUGUAGUC